AGCUGCUUCAUACCCCUCGUGCUAGCAUGGAGGAUGAUCUGCCUGGCAGCUGCUGAUAACUCAGAUAACCUGACCAGCUACAUUUUAGUGUCAAUUAAUGACAUCUGUGAAUCAUCAUUACACAAGAUGUGAGCCAGAAAGGGCAAACACUGGAUCUUACUGUAUUUCAGACUAUAGACUGUAAACCUGUGGACAGAGACUGCCUUUUUCAAAAAUAUUGAUUG